GAGGAGCAUGCAUCCUUAGAACCCAGGAUUACCUAAUGGGACUUCCUAUCUUCGGAUGCUCCGUGAGGAGCGGGAACCCGCCGAACUGAAACAUCUUAGUAGGCGGAGGAAAAGAAAGCAAUUAUGCGAUACCGUUAGUAAAGUCGAUCGAACACGGUGUAGAACAAACUGAAUCCCACUUAGUGAUUUGUUGGGAGAUGUGGUGUAGUAAGGCUCGGUUUAUGGUCCGGUUUGGUGAAGUUGAAUUGAACUGGAAUGUUCAGCCGUAGAGGGUGAAAGCCCCGUAAAUGUAAACUGAUUUGGAUUGGAUUGAGUUCUUGAGUAGCGUCGAUUGGAAAUUCGGCGUGAAU
rnacentral:rRNA from 1 species